ACCCGCGUUCCCCCCGUCGCCGCCAGCUGCGGGCGAUCGGGGUUUUAGCGGCGUCGCAGAGCAGCGAUAGUGGCUCCUUCUUCGCCUGGGGGCACGUUUCGUGGCUCCGCCGGAUUUUGGGGGGUCAUACAGGGGCUUCGGGAGGGGUCAGAAGUGGAGUCUGGAGGGGUCCUGGCGGGCUCCGGGCCCGGCGCUGGCGCCCGCUCCCGCCGGGUGGAGCAGUCGUCGGGAAAUAGCGGGUGGGCGGUCCCGGCUCCAUAAACCUCGUUUUUUCUGCUUAUGUCUUUAUUUUUCGUUUAUUUUAACCUUUUAAAAAUCAAGUUGUUUUAUUUUAAAUUAGUUUUCGUCCUUUUAAUGUGAAUUUGGGGACUCUUUUACCUCUGCUUUGCUCUUCCUCCCCCCCAUCCACGUGGCCCCUCUCCAGCCCCUUCAGAAACAUUACUAAUACAUAUUUUUUAAAUCUUUAUUUAGUGUAUUUUUUGAUUUAUCUUUCUCUUUUGUCGCUUUUGUCUCUCUUAUGCUGUGUUUUUACUCGCUUUUCUCUCACGGAGAAGCGGAAACACAUCGCGACGGAGACGGGUUUCGCUUAAACCUUUAUAAACGUUUAAUUUCUGCUUUUAUACCCCCCUAGAGCCUUCCCUGUCUUGGUAGCGUGGUUCCUUUUUGAAGAAAUGCGACGCUUAUUCCUGAGGUUUUUCAUGGAAUUCAAGCCCGUACGGGUGCCGCAGGAGCAGAGUACAGAUAUACCGAAUCCCGAGUCUGUACCAGCGGCUGUACGGACGGUUGAAGGCCUCCGGGCUGCGGGGGCCGGGCUACCCCGAAGAGACCCCACAGAGGAACCGGGCUGAGGUCGCGCUGGCCGCUCCUUGCGGUGCGGCAGGAUGAGAACAGAACUCAUGUACGGCCGCAGGAGGAUUGCUCCCCCAGCAAGCACAACCUGGUCAGCGUCCAGAAAGCACACAAGCAGAUGCAGGCGGAGAAUAAGAGUGAGGGGACGAGGGGGGGCACCAGGGGUUUCAGCCUUCUCCUAUCCCCUCUAAGCACCUCUGCCCCCUCAGUCUUCCAUGACCAGACUAAGCUGUGGGCACUCUACACCACAGCCAAAGCCAACACAGAGGCUGGGUGCAAUUAGGCUCCUCCUUACUCAAAAAAUCUCCAUGUUUACCUCCACGCUCCUCUUUUUAACGCCAGAUCUCCAAGUUUUGACCCUGAAGCCCCGUUUUUACUUCACAAUCCCCCUUUUUUCACCCCCAUCAGCCUAUUUUUGCUAAUUUUCCCAAAUUCUUACUAUUUUAGGGGGUUCUUUGGCAGCAUCCCUACACAAGGUGCUGGAUAAAAUUGCUGAGAUCAAGUCACUGCUGGAGGAAUGCCACAUCGGUAACCACCUGAGGAGCUGCACAGGGGUCUAAAUGGUCAGGGAGCAGGGGGGCACAAGUAAAUAAGAUUAAUUUUGGAACAACAGGCAGCGAGAAUGAUGUUUGCCAGGGAAGGAGCAUUGCAGGGUCCUGCUGCAGCCCCAGCUGUUCCUGCCUGGGAAGCAAAGCCCGGAGGGGCUUCACAAACACAUCUGGCUCCACACAGGAAGAGAAACCUGAGGAGCUGCAGCAGGAGCUGUCACAAACAGCCAUGCAUGAGACAGAGCUGCAUGGCACUGGAGCCAAGCUCUCCCCUGCCCAGGCAAGGCUUCCCGGAGACUUUGGACAGGUGAAUCAGCCUGUUACUUGCACUAAGCCACUUGCAGUAGGUGAGCCCCGAGGUGCUACCCCUUGGGGACCCAAGUGCCCACCAGCACAGGAGGAGCCCGGCUGUCACAUCCCCUCGCCGGGUGUGGAUGGUGGCUGUGCUGCUGGCAGGGACUGGGGCCGGAGUUGGAGUCCUGCACCCGGAUUGCCCCAGACCACCCACGGUGAGAGGACAAGAGAGACUCUUCAUACUGCUGUACACUGUUGGCCACUGCAUUUACAGUUGGUGCAUCAGCAUCAGAUCCUCCCCAAACUGUUGGUGACAAUAUGUGGGAACACACUGAUGGCACGCGCUGCACAAACUCCUCAGCAAAGAUGCUUUGCAGAGCAUUUCAUUGGGGUCUACACUUAGUCACCGUCACCAAAACUAGCUGUGAUACAGUCAGUUCCCUUACGUACUUAAUACCUUUUUGUAAUACCUCUGUACAGGAGGGACAUUGAGGUGCUGGAGCGUGUCCAGAGGAGAGUGACCAGGCUGGUGAGGGGUCUGGAGACCAGGGCAUGUGGGGAGAGGCUGAGGGAGCUGGGCACGUUGAGCUUGGAGAAGAGGAGGCUGAGGGGAGACCUCAUUGCCCUCUACAGCUCCCUGAAAGGAGGGUGGAGAGAGGUGGGUGGUGGCCUCUUCUCCCAGGUGGAUAAUGACAGGACCAGAGGAAAUGGUCUGAAGUUGCAGCAGGGGAGGUUUAGGUUAGAUAUUAGGAAGAAUUACUUUCCUGCAAGAAUGGUCAGGCACUGGAAGAGCCUGCCCAGGGAGGGGGUUGUGUCACCAUCCCUCGAGGUAUUUAAGAAACCAGUUUAAGGUUUGGUACUUCAGGGCAUGCUCUAGUGACAGAGAUGGUAGGGAUGGUUUUGUGUGUAUAUGGUUGGACUCGAUGAUCUCCAAGGUCCUUUCCAACCAUGAAGAUUCUAUGACUUUUCCAUGAUGGUCCAUUUGCUUGGGCAAACCUGACCUUUACAGCUGACAUGAAUCGCCUCCAGAGACUGAGAGUGUUUAUCUUUCUCCCAGUUGCGUUAUCGAUGCCUCUCUCUGUCGAGGUUUCCCAGCUGUUUGGCCUCUGCCUUCUGAGCCUAUGACAUUAGCCCCAUUGUCCCAGCCUCGCAGCAGCCAGGAGAUAAGUGACAACUGAAGUCCUUCCUCAUUUUUUGCAAAUCCUUUAUAGAGAAGGACUUAACGAUUAUCGCAGUGUAUGAGUUGUCCUCGGGGUCAACACUGCCUAAGAAGGACCCUCUCGGGACCCUCCUUCAUCUUUGUGAGAAGAACCCUCUCCCACGUUGUCCGGCUUGGGCUGGUUGCUGUUGUAAGGGGCAGGGGAAGGAGCUGAUGUCCUCUUCUGUUUCCUGGUCACCAGGGCAACUUGUGCUGGUUCUGCUGGAGUUGGAGGAGCCGUGGGAGCUGCUGUCACUGUUCUCGGGUUCAGAGCAGUGACCGUGCUCCUUGUCAGGACUGGAGCAGCCGGUGCCAGCAGGGGAAGGGCAUUCAGUUUUUAAACAGCCCAAAAGGUUUCCAUCCCCAAGCUCUUUGAUACCCAUGUUGGGUGCCAAUUAAUCUGUCGCGGUUUGGGCCAAUGAUGAGAUGACAGAUGCUCUCCCCCACCUCUUGCUCCAUGGAGAGGAGGAAAGAGAAAGAGUUUAGAAAAAAAUAAAUAAUGAAAUAUUAAUAAUAAAAUAAAAAGGGUAUAAUUUUAUAUAUAUAUAUUAAAAAAACGGUAUCAAGUUCCCAGGAAGAUGUCACUGGUAGGCACUGGAGAAGGCCCGGACUGGACCUGGGGACAGAUGGGAACUGGAUUCUGGAAGCACGGAUUGGGAUCAAGGGCAGAUCCAGGGUCCUCCUGAAGAAAGAGCCAUUGAAGAGUCCCCUGAUCCCUCAGCUUUACCCUGAGCGUGGCAGAUGGGAUGGAACACCCUGCUGGCCAGUUUGGAGUCACCUCUUGUCCCUCCCUGCAGGUGCCGCCUCUCUGUGGGGCAAUCAACCCCCUCAGCUGCCCCUGGCUGCCAGAGCAGCGAGUCCCAGCAAGAGCCUCCCUGAGCAGAACCUCGGCUGCUCCAGCCCCUGGCAGGACAACCAGCCAUGCCUGCAGGGCCCUUGUGGGACCGUGGUGCUUGUAGGGCAGUUUUCCUGGCAGCCCGUGCAGUGCUGAGUAUUUUAGAGGGAAAGUCAAUACUGCACUGAGGUGUUGGUGGGGUUCUCCCUAAGUCUGGGACUUUCCGGUUCCCUGCGUUCCACCAGCAAGCACAGGUGCACAGAAGCAUGGAGCAGGAGAUGGGGAGACUCCGUCCCUCGGCAGCGACAGCGAAUCCAGGAGAUGGGAGCAGGCACCAUCCAGGACGGGGAGAGACAAUCCGGGAGGUGUUAAAGGUCCCAGACCGAAAAUCGCCACUGGGCUGAGAGGUGAAGCUGAAAAUGGAAAUUCAAGCCAAAAAAUUGUGAAAAAGCCAAGCCAAAAAAUCGGAAAUGACAUCAUGAAGGAGAACAUCAGGCUCACUGAGCAAAGCAGCUCAACUUCCCAGAGACGCCUGCAAGGAACACACCAUGAUGCACCAUCAGCAGGGAUGGGGAACUCGCUGGCUCCCACAGGAAGGUGGACGGGACCGUGCCACUGUGCAGGGACAGUGCAGAACGUCGUGGGACAGAGUCUUCCCAGGGCUGGGGACAGAGUCUUCCCAGGGCUGUGCCCAGAUCACUGAAAGCAAUUUGGGAAUGUUUUGUUCUGUUUUGUUACCGCUUUACAACCUCAGAGGGUUUUGACCUAUUUAUUUCUCUAAGCGCCUUGCCCAAAGAUGCCUUGUACCAACUGCAGUAACCCCCGCAGGGCCCAGGUCUCCUGGGGUGGUUGUGGUGUGCGGCCCUGCAGGGAACCCCCUUCUGAUCAGAGGAUUUUUCCUAUAUUUCAAUGCUUUUAUUUCCACUUAUUUCACAUCUGCUUUAGUGAGAACCAAGCAAUGGAAGGUCCGAUUUGGACUGAAAAUUUCUCAGAAUCUGUAGCUUUCUGUGCAGCUUAUUUAAUGUGUGUAAGUCCUUUUGAUUAGUUAUGGUUUGAGAUUAGUUAUGGCUUGUAUGGCUACAUUUUUUCGGCUGCAUCUGCCCUUGCAUUACUGUAGGGCAGCCCUGUAAAAGUCAGCAAUGUAAAGCGAGGGCAGAUUUAUCUCCCGUGUCACUUGUAAAGUGAGAUGAAUGAGUUCUCCAUCCCAGCACUGUGUCCUGCGAGCUUUGCUCAGCACCCAGCUCCCAAAGCUCCACUUGGAGGACAGAGAUUUAAAAUUCGCUGAAGAAGACAUUUAUGCAAGGUGGAUUUUAUUAUUUUUUUCCUAAAACGGAAACCUAAUACAGUGUUUUGGGUUGUUCUUUCAGCAACACAGAACAAGAACUAUGUAACAAUAAAAAUUGAUCAUAAAAUUGCAGUCAUAAAUUAUCGGCAUAAUGUUAUAGGCAUAAAUUCUGUGUAUGAAGGAGGAGGAGUUGUCUGUCUUAACUGAAGAAGGGUAACUUGGGUCA